UCAAACAGGAGUAUUUCCUCAUUUUAACAGAUAACGUGAGCCAUCUAUUUUUUCCUUAUUCAGGCUGUGUAACUGCAUCUGCAAGAUCAGUCAAGCAUCCUUCCAAAGCCUUCAGUUCUGAUUCCGUUUCUUCAGGUACCCAAACUCAAGCUCACAGACUUCUGCGGUGCUCCUGAAGCAAACUUAACAGUCGAGACUGUUCUACUGAAAGCUUUCUGAAAUCAUUCUUGAAAUACAGUGCAUAAUCUCUUGAGAUUAACUCAGUGACAAAAUUAAAACGUAAGUUUAAUUUGGCACCUUCCACUUAACUGAUUCCUAGUGUAUAAAAAAUACUUCAGUUAAAUACUU
rnacentral:lncRNA from 1 species